rnacentral:rRNA from 1 species
GAUGAACGCUAGCGGCAGGCUUAACACAUGCAAGUCGAGGGGUAUAGGUUUUCGGACCUAGAGACCGGCGCACGGGUGCGUAACGCGUAUGCAAUCUACCUUUCACAGAGGGAUAGCCCAGAGAAAUUUGGAUUAAUACCUCAUAGUAUAUCAGUUUCGCAUGAAACCACUAUUAAAGUUCCAACGGUGAAAGAUGAGCAUGCGUCCCAUUAGCUAGAUGGUAAGGUAACGGCUUACCAUGGCUACGAUGGGUAGGGGUCCUGAGAGGGAGAUCCCCCACACUGGUACUGAGACACGGACCAGACUCCUACGGGAGGCAGCAGUGAGGAAUAUUGGUCAAUGGACGCAAGUCUGAACCAGCCAUGCCGCGUGCAGGAUGACGGUCCUAUGGAUUGUAAACUGCUUUUGUACGAGAAGAAACAACAUUACGUGUAAUGUCUUGACGGUAUCGUAAGAAUAAGGAUCGGCUAACUCCGUGCCAGCAGCCGCAGUAACAC